rnacentral:rRNA from 1 species
UACGUAGGAUGCAAGCGUUGUCCGGAAUUAUUGGGCGUAAAGAGCGCGCAGGCGGUUUUACAAGUCAGAUGUGAAAUAUCCGGGCUCAACCUGGGAACUGCGCUUGAUACGGCAGAGCUAGAGGAUGGAAGAGGCUCGCGGAAUUCCCAGUGUAGAGGUGAAAUUCGUAGAUAUUCGCAAGAACACCAGUGGCGAAGGCGGCCGACUGGUCCGGUUCUGACGCUGAGGCGCGAAAGCGUGGGGAGCAAACAGG